UACGUAGGGGGCAAGCGUUAUCCGGAUUUACUGGGUGUAAAGGGAGCGUAGACGGCAGCGCAAGUCUGGAGUGAAAUGCCGGGGCCCAACCCCGGAACUGCUUUGGAAACUGUGCGGUUCGAGUGCGGGAGAGGUAGGCGGAAUUCCUAGUGUAGCGGUGAAAUGCGUAGAUAUUAGGAGGAACACCAGUGGCGAAGGCGGCUUACUGGACCGUAACUGACGUUGAGGCUCGAAAGCGUGGGGAGCAAACAGG
rnacentral:rRNA from 1 species